AUUGAACGCUGGCGGCAUGCUUUACACAUGCAAGUCGAACGGCAGCGCGGGCUUCGGCCUGGCGGCGAGUGGCGAACGGGUGAGUAAUGCAUCGGAACGUGCCCAGCAGUGGGGGAUAGCCCGGCGAAAGCCGGAUUAAUACCGCAUACGACCUGAGGGUGAAAGCGGGUGACCGAAAGGCCUCGCGCUAUUGGAGCGGCCGAUGUCGGAUUAGCUAGUUGGUGGGGUAAAGGCUUACCAAGGCGACGAUCCGUAGCUGGUCUGAGAGGGGGACCAGCCACACUGGGACUGAGACACGGCCCAGACUCCUACGGGAGGCAGCAGUGGGGAAUUUUGGACAAUGGGGGCAACCCUGAUCCAGCCAUGCCGCGUGCGGGAAGAAGGCCUUCGGGUUGUAAACCGCUUUUGUUCGGGAAGAAAUCCUCUGGGCUAAUACCCCGGGGGGAUGACGGUACCGGAAGAAUAAGCACCGGCUAACUACGUG
rnacentral:rRNA from 1 species